GCUGGCAGGGAUGACACACUUGCCCUCGCAUAGAUUCUGCUGAUGAGAACAUCUCUCCGUACUCGACUGUUCUGAGCCAGC
rnacentral:snoRNA from 1 species